UUUUUUAAUUUUUUUAUUAUUAAAUCGUUUAUUGAUUACACAUGAUAAUGGAUGAUCACAAGCUUCAUUCCCAUCUAUAACUUUAUCUGAUACCAUAAUUCAAUUUAGAUAUAUUGCAUAGGAUGUGCCAACAAUCAUAUUAAUAACCAAAUGAACUCCAUGACUUUGCUUGGGUGACCCUUCUAACAGUGAACUCCAGAACCACUUCGACCUCUCUGGCUGGAUGAAGCACUAGCCAUCUCUUGCUUAGAUAGGGCUUUCCUUACUUCACAGUUGUGGCCAUUCACAGUAUGGUAUUUCUGAAUGACAAUCUUGUCUACGGAGCCAUGGUCAUCAAAAGUUACAAAAGCAAAUCCUCUCUUCUUGCCACUGCCUCUGUCAGUCAUGAUUUCAAUCACUUCAAUUUUCCCAUAUUGUUCAAAAUAAUCUCUUAGGUGAUGUUCUUCAGUGUCUUCUUUAAUGCCACCAACAAAAAUCUUUUUCACAGUUAAGUGGGCACCAGGUCUUUGAGAAUCUUCUCUUGAGACGGCCCUCUUUGGUUCCACAACUCGUCCAUCCACCUUGUGUGGCCUUGCAUUCAUAGCUGCAUCCACCUCCUCCACAGUGGCUUACGUGACAAAGCCAAAGCCUCUGGAGUGCUUGGUGUUUGGACUC
rnacentral:lncRNA from 1 species